GACGAACGCUGGCGGCGUGCCUAAUACAUGCAAGUCGAGCGGAACUGGGGGAGCUUGCUCCUCCCAGUUUAGCGGCGGACGGGUGAGUAACACGUGGGCAACCUGCCCUGCAGAUCGGGAUAACUCCGGGAAACCGGUGCUAAUACCGAAUAGUUUGGCGCCUCUCCUGAGGCGCUACGGAAAGACGGUUUCGGCUGUCACUGCAGGAUGGGCCCGCGGCGCAUUAGCUAGUUGGUGGGGUAACGGCCCACCAAGGCGACGAUGCGUAGCCGACCUGAGAGGGUGACCGGCAACACUGGGACUGAGACACGGCCCAGACUCCUACGGGAGGCAGCAGUAGGGAAUCUUCCGCAAUGGACGCAAGUCUGACGGAGCAACGCCGCGUGAGUGACGAAGGUUUUCGGAUCGUAAAACUCUGUUGUGAGGGAAGAACACGUACCAACUAACUAUUGGUACCUUGACGGUACCUCGCCAGAAAGCCACGGCUAACUACGUGCCAGCAGCCGCCGUAA
rnacentral:rRNA from 1 species